CUGUACCUAGUGUAAAUUUAUUCGAUGGGGAGACGUGACGUACGCGUUUGCGUUAACUGUCAUUUUGUAUGGAAUUUUGAGUUUCCAAAACAUCCCGCUUGGCGCGCUGUUUCUAAAUCCCUUAGCACCACUUGCACCAUUUCACUAACUCGGGGUUAACUGGUUAACCCUGGAGUUACCAUGUUACCAGUACAAUUUCACAUUGGGUUAACGGUUUAACCGGUUAACCCCGGGUUAUUGGAAUGGGGCAAGUGCAUGUUAGUAAAUGUACUAAGAUCACGACCACAGAAUAAAUAGUUCAUGACUAAGUUAAUAUACCUAUCAUAAUGUAAAUAACCGGCCAAGAGCAUGUCGGGCCACGCUCAGUGUAGGGUUCCGUAGUUACUCUUCCGUCACAAUAAGCUAAACUGGAGCUUAAAGUGUAGUAAAUGGUACCUUUCACCCGAGUUAAACAAAUAGGCAAAUUUGCAUAAUCAGUACCUAAUUAAAGAAGUCUUUUUACUAUGAAGGGAAAACUUUUUGCGAUAACUCAAAAACAGCUAAACUGAUCAUGUCCGCUAUAGUUUUCAUUUAAUGUCUUUCUUAAGCUCUACUUCCACGAUUUUUUUCAUAUUUUUUGGACCUAUGGUUCAAAAGUUAGAGGGGGGGGGACACAUUUUUUUUUUCUUUCGGAGCGAUUAUCUCCGAAUAUAUUCACUUUAUCAAAAAAUGUUUCUUGAAGACCCCUAUUAGUUUUGAAAGACCUUUCCAACGAUACCCCACACUUUAGGGUUGAAGCGAAAAAAAAAAUUCACCCCCACUUUACGUGUAGGGGAGGUACCCUAAAAAAAAUUAAAAUUUUAGAUUUUAUUGUACGACUUUGUCGGCUUUAUUGAUUUAUAUAUCCAUGCCAAAUUUCAGCUUUCUAACACUAACGACCACGGAGCAAAGCCUCGGACAGACAGACAGACAGACAGACAGACGGACAUGGCGAAACUAUAAGGGUUCCGUUUUAUGCCAUUUGGCUACGGAACCCUAAAAAGGCAUAAGCAAGGGGGAAGUUUCGUUAGUUGUUCAGAUGAUUAAGUAUUAUGUAACCAAAAAAUAAUAAUUUCAGGUGACUCGGGGUAUGCUCUUGAGCCAUGGCUCAUGACGCCAGUGCUGAAUCCUGCCCCGGGAAGCCCAGAAGCAAGGUAGGUACACGGUCUGGCACUGUCGCGUGCGCAUCACGAUCAAGCGUACCAAUGGGUACCUCAAAAACGUAUUCCGGUGCCUGGGCCACGACCGCGUCUUACACUACAGCCCGACGAAGGCAUCGUCAAUAAUAAAUGCAUGUUGCGUAGUAUACAACAUAAUGCAACAUUAUAGAAAUGUUCCCGAGGAAAUCGUAGGAGAUAUUGAUGAAGACGCUCCUCAAGAACUUCCUCAUCGUCAUGCGCAAAACGGACUACUAUUAAGAGUGGCGCAGGAAAAGCGUGCGCGUCUAAUAAAUACAUAUUUUGCUUA